rnacentral:rRNA from 1 species
CUAAGAAUCUUCCGCAAUGGACGAAAGUCUGACGGAGCGACGCCGCGUGAACGAUGAAGGCCGUGAGGUUGUAAAGUUCUUUUCCGGGGGGGGAAUAAGCGUGGCAGGGAAUGGCCGCGCGAUGACGUGAACCCGGGAAUAAGCCCCGGCUAACUACGUGCCAGCAGCCGCGGUAACACGUAGGGGGCGAGCGUUGUUCGGAAUCAUUGGGCGUAAAGGGUGCGCAGGCGGCCAUGCGAGUCUGGUGUGAAAUACCCCGGCCCAACCGGGGGGGCGCGCUGGAAACUGCAUGGCUGGAGUACAGGAGGGGGAGUCGGAAUUCCAGGUGUAGGGGUGAAAUCUGUAGAUAUCUGGAAGAACACCGGUGGCGAAGGCGGACUCCUGGCCAUGUACUGACGCUGAGGCACGAAGGCGUGGGGAGCAAACAG